rnacentral:rRNA from 1 species
GACAGAGGUGCCAAGCGUUAGGCGGAAUCACUGGGCUUAAAGCGUGUGUAGGCGGAUUCCUAAGUACCUUGUGAAAUCCCACGGCUCAACCGUGGAACUGCUUGGUAUACUGGGUGUCUUGAGCUACUUAGGGGCGACUGGAACAAAUGGUGGAGCGGUGAAAUGCGUAGAUAUCAGGAAGAACACCGGUGGCGAAGGCGGUGGGCUGGGCCGGCACUGACGCUGAGGAGCGAAAGCGUGGGGAGCGAACAGG